GGCGCACGGGUGCGUAACGCGUAUGCAACCUACCUUUUACUGGGAGAUAGCCCGGAGAAAUUCGGAUUAAUCCCCCAUAGUACUAUUUAGCUGCAUGGUUAGAUAGUUAAAGCAUUGCGGUAUAAGAUGGGCAUGCGUCCUAUUAGCUAGAUGGUGAGGUAACGGCUCACCAUGGCUACGAUAGGUAGGGGGCCUGAGAGGGUGGUCCCCCACACUGGUACUGAGACACGGACCAGACUCCUACGGGAGGCAGCAGUGAGGAAUAUUGGUCAAUGGGCGCAAGCCUGAACCAGCCAUGCCGCGUGCAGGAAGAAUGCCCUUGGGUUGUAAACUGCUUUUAUUUGGGAAUAAACCUCUUUACGUGUAGAGAGCUGAAGGUACCAAAUGAAUAAGCACCGGCUAACUCCGUGCCAGCAGCCGCGGUAAUACGGAGGGUGCAAGCGUUAUCCGGAAUCAUUGGGUUUAAAGGGUCCGCAGGCGGACUUAUAAGUCAGUGGUGAAAUCCUAUCGCUUAACGAUAGAACUGCCAUUGAUACUGUAAGUCUUGAAUUCGGUCGGAGUGGGCGGAAUGUGUAGUGUAGCGGUGAAAUGCAUAGAUAUUACACAGAACACCGAUAGCGAAGGCAGCUCACUAGGCCUGAAUUGACGCUCAGGGACGAAAGCGUGGGGAUCAAACAGGAUUAGAUACCCUGGUAGUCCACGCUGUAAACGAUGAUUACUCGUUUUCGGCGAUAUACAGUCGGAGACUAAGCGAAAGUGAUAAGUAAUCCACCUGGGGAGUACGAUCGCAAGGUUGAAACUCAAAGGAAUUGACGGGGGCCCGCACAAG
rnacentral:rRNA from 1 species